rnacentral:rRNA from 1 species
CCGAGUGGUCGGGACGAUUAUUGGGCCUAAAGCAUCCGUAGCCGGUUUUACAAGUCCUCCGUUAAAUCCAGCUGCUUAACAGAUGGGCUGCGGAGGAUACUAUAAGACUAGGAGGCAGGAGAGGCAAGCGGUACUCAGUGGGUAGGGGUAAAAUCCGUUGAUCCAUUGAAGACCACCAGUGGCGAAGGCGGCUUGCCAGAAUGCGCUCGACGGUGAGGGAUGAAAGCUGGGGGAGCAAACCGG